CCUACGGGAGGCAGCAGUAGGGAAUAUUGCUCAAUGGGGGAAACCCUGAUGCAGCAACGCCGCGUGGAGGAUGAAGGUUUUCGGAUUGUAAACUCCUUUUGUUAGAGAAGAUAAUGACGGUAUCUAACGAAUAAGCACCGGCUAACUCCGUGCCAGCAGCCGCGGUAAUACGGAGGGUGCAAGCGUUACUCGGAAUCACUGGGCGGAAAGAGCGCGUAGGCGGGAUAGCAAGUCAGAUGUGAAAUCCUAUGGCUUAACCAUAGAACUGCAUUUGAAACUGUUAUUCUAGAGUAUGGGAGAGGUAGGUGGAAUUCGUGGUGUAGGGGUGAAAUCCGUAGAGAUUAAGAGGAAUACUCAUGGCGAAGGCGACCUGCUAGAACAUAACUGACGCUGAUGCGCGAAAGCGUGGGGAGCAAACAGGAUUAGAUACCCUUGUAGUC
rnacentral:rRNA from 1 species